GUGUUGUAUCGCUUUGUGUUUGUUUGUUUGGAAAACAAAAGAUUGUUUCGGCCGCGUUUAAAAAUAGCCCGUUGAGAUGGCCAAAAAUAUCCCAAAGUAUCUUGAAGAUGCGUGGUGCGGCAUGCGGAUAGACAGACAGCCAGUCAGACAAGUGCUUUUGUUAUAUUUCGAAUGGAAAUUCUCGAGCAGCAGCUGAAAGCAAAAGUUCCCAUUGCCGUUGCCAUUGCCCACUCAUUUUCCUGGAAAAUCGAGGGAGGAACAUUUUUGGGAGGUUCUAGCGGAAAAGGAAGCCACAAACAAAUUGCUGCCUCACAAUGACAGCUGUAGAGGAACAAUUGCAUCCCACAAAACACUCGCCUGCGUGUCUAUAGAACUGAGAAAUCUGAAUUGGCAACGGAAAGUCAAUAAAUACUCAGCUAUGCAAAUAGCCUAGGAAAAUCUGGGAAAUUACUAAGUGAUUGUCGGAAAAUAGGACAAGACUGAGAUUUUGUGUUGAAAAUAAUUAGUUACCAAAAUGUUUCCUAUAUUUCUUUCUAAUUCGUCAAAACAAAAACCAACGAACACAGUGCUUUCUUCACAAGGACAUCUUUCCUUUUUGGCCAGCAAAAAUGAAAAAAGCUAAAUAAAACCCAGAAGCAACCGAAGAGAAAGACCAGAAACACAAUAACAAACACAAAAUGGCAUAAUAGGCUUUGUGGGCGUGGCUGCGGCAGGGGCGGUGGGGAAAAGCGCAAUCAAGCGUUUCCAGAUAGUUUUGAUGGGAAACAAAAAAAAAAAAAAAUACAACAAAUUUUCUACUACAAUGCCUACAAAAUACUGGCAACAAAGAGAAAGCAACUUUACAAACGGCCCACCGAUAUCAUAAAAAUUCCAGUGAAUACGAGUGUAUGAAACGCAAUGCUCACAAAAAUGGUUACGCACAUUGGGCAAAGGCGGCAUGUGUGUGAGCCCCAAGGAUAUCCGGAAAAAGGACCCACACCUGAAUCAUUCCACAGCCAGUCGGAAAGGCACCUUCUGUUGCUGUAUGCAAAAAUUGAAAAAAUACAAAUUUCCCAUUACAGUUUGCCAUUUUCAU